CGCACUCGUGCGGGAGAGCUUCGUGACGGCCAGUCACGGACGCCGAAGGAGCAACACCUCUCCGCUAACCUCUCAGGCACCCCGGACCGCGCGGGUUAA
rnacentral:ncRNA from 1 species